rnacentral:sRNA from 1 species
CCAAGAAGUUUUAGACGUUGCUGAUCGUCAAGACAGCGAUAAGCGCCGUACUGCUAAUGGCAGGAUUCAAGAAAUGAUUAACGUUAACCUGCGUGCUUAAUUAGCGGUAAAUAAGCGGCAACUAACUGUAUUAAAAGUGUCUUACGGAGCAUGUGAGCAAUGAAAUUACCCAUUUAUUUGGACUAUUC